rnacentral:rRNA from 1 species
UACGUAGGGACCAAGCGUUGUUCGGAUUUACUGGGCGUAAAGGGCGCGUAGGCGGCUUAACAAGUCACUUGUGAAAUCUCCGGGCUUAACCCGGAAAGGUCAAUCGAUACUGCAGGGCUAGAGUGCAGAAGGGGCAACUGGAAUUCUCGGUGUAGCGGUGAAAUGCGUAGAUAUCGAGAGGAACACCUGCGGCGAAGGCGGGUUGCUGGGCUGACACUGACGCUGAAGCGCGAAAGCUAGGGGAGCGAACGGG